AUUGACCGCUGUCGGCAGGCCUAACACAUGCAAGUCGAACGAGUGGCGGACGGGUGAGUAAUGUCUGGGAAACUGCCCGAUGGAGGGGGAUAACUACUGGAAACGGUAGCUAAUACCGCAUACCAUCGGAUGUGCCCAGAUGGGAUUAGCUUGUUGGUGGGGUAACGGCUCACCUAGGCGACGCUCCCUAGCUGGUCUGAGAGGAUGACCAGCCACACUGGAACUGAGACACGGUCCAGACGCCUACGGGAGGCAGCAGUGGGGAAUAUUGCACAAUGGGCGCAAGCCUGAUGCAGCCAUGCCGCGUGUAUGAAGAAGGCCUUCGGGUUGUAAAGUACUUUCAGCGGGGAGGCGUUACCCGCAGAAGAAGCACCGGCUAACUCCGUGCCAGCAGCCGCGGUAAUAC
rnacentral:rRNA from 1 species